GGACCCGUGGCCUAGCAUGGAUAGGGCACCAGCCUUCUAAGUUGGUAAUCGUGAGUUCAAAUCUCACCGGGUCCGCCA
rnacentral:tRNA from 1 species